UGGUGAAUGCCUUGGUGCCAAGAGGCGAUGAAGGACGUAGUAAGUUGCGAUAAGCCACGGGGAGCCGCAAGCAGGCGUUAAUCCGUGGAUCUCCGAAUGGGAAAACCCACUGGCUUUAAUCGGCCAGUAUCGACCGGAUGAAUUCAUAGUCCGGCGAAGCGAAACGCGGUGAAGUGAAACAUCUCAGUAACCGCAGGAAAAGAAAACGAAGUGAUUCCGUCAGUAGUGGCGAGCGAAAGCGGAACAGCCUAAACCGGGGGGACUUGUCCUCCCGGGGUUGAGGGACCUUGAUGUGGUAGGUGAAUGACUAAUGUAACCAUCUGGAAAGUUGGGCCAAAGACCGUGACAGCCGGGUGCAUAAAAGUUUGAAGCCGCCUAGAGGUAUCCCAAGUAAUGCGGUGCACGUGAAACUCUGCAUGAAUCCGUCCAGACCACUGGAUAAGGCUAAAUACUCCUUGGCAACCGAUAGUG
rnacentral:rRNA from 1 species